GGAUUAGAUACCCUAUUAUUUUGAAUAUAAAUUGAUGUAUGCUUAAGUAGUAAUAGAUAAGGUCUUGAAACUUAAAGAAUUUGGCGGUAUUUUAGUCUAUUUAGAGGAAUCUGUCCCGUAAUCGAUAGUCCACGUUGGACCUUACUUAAUUUAUAGUAUGUAUACCGCCGUUGUUGAAAAUCUUAAUAGAGCAAUUUCUUAAUUUUUUUAAGUAAAAAUUUCAGGUCAAGGUGCAGCUUAUGAUUAAGAGGAGAUGGAUUACAAUAUUUUAAAAUAGAUGAAUUUUUAUUAGAAAUAGUUAAUUGAAGGUGGAUUUAAUAGUAAAUUUAUAAAGAUUGUCAAGUUGAUAAAAGCUCUAUAAUGUGCACACAUCGCCCGUCACUCUCGUUGAUUAAGGUGAGAUAAGUC
rnacentral:rRNA from 1 species